UACGUAGGUGGCAAGCGUUGUCCGGAAUUAUUGGGCGUAAAGAGCAUGUAGGCGGGAAUCUAAGUCUGUUGUGAAAAUGCGGGGCUCAACCCCGUAUGGCGAUGGAAACUGGAUUUCUUGAGUGCAGGAGAGGAAAGGGGAAUUCCCAGUGUAGCGGUGAAAUGCGUAGAUAUUGGGAGGAACACCAGUGGCGAAGGCGCCUUUCUGGACUGUGUCUGACGCUGAGAUGCGAAAGCCAGGGUAGCGAACGGG
rnacentral:rRNA from 1 species